rnacentral:rRNA from 1 species
CCUACGGGGGGCUGCAGUGGGGAAUAUUGGACAAUGGGGGCAACCCUGAUCCAGCCAUGCCGCGUGUGUGAAGAAGGCCCUCGGGUUGUAAAGCACUUUCAGUGAGGAAGAACGCCUGGUGGUUAAUACCCAUCAGGAAAGACAUCACUCACAGAAGAAGCACCGGCUAACUCCGUGCCAGCAGCCGCGGUAAUACGGAGGGUGCGAGCGUUAAUCGGAAUUACAGGGCGUAAAGCGCGCGUAGGUGGCUUGAUAAGCCGGUUGUGAAAGCCCCGGGCUCAACCUGGGAACGGCAUCCGGAACUGUCAAGCUAGAGUGCAGGAGAGGAAGGUAGAAUUCCCGGUGUAGCGGUGAAAUGCGUAGAGAUCGGGAGGAAUACCAGUGGCGAAGGCGGCCUUCUGGACUGACACUGACACUGAGGUGCGAAAGCGUGGGUAGCAAACAGGAUUAGAUACCCGGGUAGUC